rnacentral:rRNA from 1 species
CAGGAACGAACGCUGGCGGCAGGCCUAACACAUGCAAGUCGAACGCCCUAGCAAUAGGGAGUGGCAGACGGGUGAGUAACACGUGGGAACCUUCCCUAUAGUACGGAAUAGCUCAGGGAAACUUGAAGUAAUACCGUAUACGCCCGAGAGGGGAAAGAUUUAUCGCUAUAGGAUGGGCCCGCGUCGGAUUAGCUAGUUGGUGAGGUAAUGGCUCACCAAGGCGACGAUCCGUAGCUGGUUUGAGAGAACGACCAGCCACACUGGGACUGAGACACGGCCCAGACUCCUACGGGAGGCAGCAGUGGGGAAUAUUGGACAAUGGGCGCAAGCCUGAUCCAGCCAUGCCGCGUGAGUGAUGAAGGCCUUAGGGUUGUAAAGCUCUUUUAGCAGGGAAGAUAAUGACUGUACCUGCAGAAUAAGCUCCGGCUAACUUCGUG